rnacentral:tRNA from 1 species
GAGAGUAUUGCUCAGUCGCAGAGUGCAUGCUUAGCAUUUGUGAGGUCCUGGGUUCAAUCCCCAGUACCUUCA